UUCUCCCCCCGCUCCUGGCAGCGCCCCCAGGCCGAGGUAGCGCCGGGGGCAGGGCAGUGCCAUUCCGCUGCACCCCGCACCUGGCCGGGCUCCGCUGCAGCAGGUCGGCGGGGGGCACCGCGGCGAUGCCGGCAGCAGGCGGGCGGGCGGGGCGAGAAGCGCGAGCGGCGAAGCCCCAGGCAGCGGCCCCGCUCCCGCCUCCCGAGCUGCGCCCUCGGCGUCUCCUCUGGCAGCCUCCGCCUGGGCGCCUAUAAAGGGCCCGUGGAGCGCGCGGGGCCGGGAGACGUGGCACUCGCUCCCCUCGGGCCGCCUUCUCCCACCCCGCCAGCCACUUGCCUUAACUGACAUCUUAAAGAUAAAGAGAAAAGUUGGGGAGAGAAUGAAGAACGCCUUGAGGAAACCCAGUUCCUGAACUUCUCGUUAUCCGCGAACUUGAACAAGGUGCUUUUCUCCCCCUUAUCCAAGUCACUGAUGAAGAUGUUGAACAGUGUAGGCCUGUUGGUCCCUCCCAGAUGUGCUCCUGGAUAAUUUUCUCAAAGAGCUUCCCCAGGACCAAGGUAAGACUAACGGGCCUAAAGUUUCUUGGGUCCUCCUUCCUCCCUUUUUUGAAAAUGGGGACCACAUUGGCCCUUUUCCAAUCCUCCAGCACCUUGCCAGAGCACCAUGAGUGUUCGUAGAACUGUGCCAGGUGUCCCACAAUGGCCUCUGCCAAUUCACUCAGCACCCUUGGGUGGAGAUCAUCUGGACCUGCUGAUUUGAACAUGUCCAGUCCCACCAGAAAUUCCCUGACUAGUUCCUCUCUGACCCUGGGCUCGACUGUGCCUCUUCUGAUCUAGGAACUAACUCUGCCAAAUUGUGCAAAGACUCUCCAUUGAACUUUAUAUCCCUCCUUCCACUGACUUUGAAGUUUGAGUAAAGGUAGCAGGAGUCUGAAAGAUAUUUUGAUGGCUCCAAAUUGCCAACAUUCAUAGGUAUAAUUAAAUUGUCCAGAGCAGGGAAAAUGAACAAUGUCUAAUAAAUUGGAGGCCUUUUCCUUCAUUAAUGUGGUCAUAAUUUCCAUUCAUUUGGCUAACCAUCCCUCCAAUUUAAGACAGCAGCUCUUGGAAUGACCUCAAAUCAUCCAUGACUGAAAUCAGCACUGAAGAAUCUGCAUCACUGGGAGAUGGUGAUAGUGGAUCCUGGGAAGAAACUGAAAGAAUUAUAUAAAAGACGGCAAAGACAGGCUGAGUCCUUAUGUGUGGGUUGAAUGGCAUGUAGAAUAGAGAUGACAAAAGGAAGCAGCAUUUUCUUCCAGGGUGGAGAGAACUUCCUGAUACCCUCCUUGCCAUCUGCCAAACUCUCAUCCCUUACUCAAAGAACUCCAGUCAGUAAAGAGACUCCUUCAAGUCUCACCAUAGAGGAACAGCUGCCACUUUCCUCUGCUCAAUCCUGAUGGGGCAAGUUUAGAUAGAAGUCGGCUUCUUUGCAGCCGCGCUCCCUUCUCCACGAUUCCCUGACCCCAGCUGGGACAACGCACACCUUUAUGACAUGUUUGGCCAUGCAGUGGCCCAGCUGGAGCUGGCACCAACUGAUAAAGCAUGCCAGCGACAGCACUGUGCUGCUGGCCCUUUCCCUGGUCUGCCUGGAGGACUCGGCAGCUGAUACAGAUAAUCGGCUGGCCAUAGGAAGUUAAAAGACUCCCAAGGAAAGGAACCAAGAAGGAAGUCAGAAAGAACAGAGAGAGACAGAAGACUGUAAGAAACAGAGGAGAGAGAUGUACCAAGCUAGUGGAGGCAGAACCGAGCCAGGGUACGUCUCAUGGUCUGAGAAAAGACCCAAGGACUGCAAGCAGAAACAUCAUGUCAGGAAACUGAGCCAGAGACAGACUGAGAAGGAAGGCUGCAGUGUGACUGGAGCAGCAGGGAGCAGGAGACACCUUCUCAGGGGCUGGAGAGGACUCUGGGACUGAGAUAGAUGGCCUCUGAGAAUGCGAAACAAGAACCAAAAGAUGAUAAAGUUACCUCUUACUCUCACAAAGUUAUCCAGAUGGCUCCCUAGAGGUUUAAACUUCAACUUCCCUUUUGGAUUCUACUAUACAAGAUGUUCACUGUAUGUGAAAUACAAAGUAAUUCACUUUCUUUAGUUGCUUUGUUUCCAGAAAACCAUUUCUUGUUCCUUGUGAAAAAUGAUAACAGCUUCACUCCAGCUUUUACAGAGACCCUUGCAUGCAAGAAUGUCUGCCUUGUUUUAAAACGAAAUAGUGAGUGGGUGUUCCUAAAACCGAUUAUAAAAGGGAAAAGUUUCAACUCA